rnacentral:rRNA from 1 species
CGCGGCCUAUCAGCUUGUUGGUGGGGUAGUGGCCUACCAAGGCGACGACGGGUAGCCGGCCUGAGAGGGCGACCGGCCACACUGGGACUGAGACACGGCCCAGACUCCUACGGGAGGCAGCAGUGGGGAAUAUUGCGCAAUGGGCGAAAGCCUGACGCAGCGACGCCGCGUGAGGGAUGACGGCCUUCGGGUUGUAAACCUCUUUCAGCAGGGACGAAGCGCAAGUGACGGUACCUGCAGAAGAAGCACCGGCUAACUACGUGCCAGCAGCCGCGGUAAUACGUAGGGUGCGAGCGUUGUCCGGAAUUAUUGGGCGUAAAGAGCUCGUAGGCGGUUUGUCGCGUCGACUGUGAAAACCUACAGCUUAACUGUGGGCUUGCAGUCGAUACGGGCAGACUUGAGUUCGGUAGGGGAGACUGGAAUUCCUGGUGUAGCGGUGAAAUGCGCAGAUAUCAGGAGGAACACCGGUGGCGAAGGCGGGUCUCUGGGCCGAUACUGACGCUGAGGAGCGAAAGCGUGGGGAGCGAACAGGAUUAGAUACCCUGGUAGUCCACGCCGUAAACGGUGGGAACUAGGUGUGGGGGACUUCCACGUCCUCCGUGCCGUAGCUAACGCAUUA